rnacentral:tRNA from 1 species
UCCCUGAUAGCUUGGUUGGUAAAGAAUCCGCCUGUGAUGCAGGAGACCCCAGUUCGAUUUCUGGGUUGGGAAG